rnacentral:rRNA from 1 species
GACGAACGCUGGCGGCGUGCUUAACACAUGCAAGUCGAACGGAAAGGCCCUGCUUUUGUGGGGUGCUCGAGUGGCGAACGGGUGAGUAACACGUGAGUAACCUGCCCUUGACUUUGGGAUAACUUCAGGAAACUGGGGCUAAUACCGGAUAGGAGCUCCUGCUGCAUGGUGGGGGUUGGAAAGUUUCGGCGGUUGGGGAUGGACUCGCGGCUUAUCAGCUUGUUGGUGGGGUAGUGGCUUACCAAGGCUUUGACGGGUAGCCGGCCUGAGAGGGUGACCGGCCACAUUGGGACUGAGAUACGGCCCAGACUCCUACGGGAGGCAGCAGUGGGGAAUAUAGCACAAUGGGCGGAAGCCUGAUGCAGCAACGCCGCGUGCGGGAUGACGGCCUUCGGGUUGUAAACCGCUUUCGCCUGUGACGAAGCGUGAGUGACGGUAAUGGGUAAAGAAGCACCGGCUAACUACGU